UCUGUGGCUAGGCCGGGGGGUUAGGCGUCCCCUGUAACCCGAAAUCGCCUUAUGCGGGGGCCGAAAACUUGGGGGCGGCAUGGAUCUCUCCUAUCCAUCCCCAAGUUUCUACUAUGACAUUUCGUCCUGUGGGGUAAGACGGUGGAGGGGCCUACUUCGGAGGAAGUAGGUAACCUCCUUUGCCUACCGAACCCCGUCAGGCCCGGAA
rnacentral:SRP_RNA from 1 species